AUGUCUGACAGGAGGCCACGGACUGACUUGGGAGACACAUGGAGCACGGGAUUUGAAAGCUGCCAACUAUCAGAAAAGUGGACCGGGAGGAUUCGAUCCUGGAAUGGAGACAGGUGUGAGGAAGGAGGAGGCAAGAAGCCAAGAAGGAAAACGCUAGGGGGGAGGGCAACUCUCCCACCUGCAGUAUCUGCAUCUGAAAGACUGCUGGAAGAAAUGACAGUCAGAUUGGCCCCAGGCUGGCCUGACUUCCCACUCAGCCGGUUUUUUUAGAGUCUUGAAAGCCAGCAAGAACUCUUUCUUGGCAGAAGUAGCUGCCAGGGUUCCCAGGUAAGACGAAUAACAUCCCUUCCCCAAGUAGACCAGGUGCGGUUUCACGAGUGGGCAUUUGUCCUCUGGAUGAAAAUGUGCAUUCCUAACGCAUGCCAGGAGGUUUUGUGAGGAGAAGGAGCAAGUCUAGACAGGUGACCGUGGGCAGGCUCUCGGAGGUGGCAGAAUUAUGAGCUGAGACUUUGAAUGGACAUCCAACCAUAAGCAAAUCUGGGGUAAUAGAGUUCCAGAGGAAACAACAAGAAAAAAGACUCGUAUAGGAAUGAGCUUGGUCAUUUCUAAGAAAGAUGGUAAACUGGGAGGUCUUUUCCUGGGAUAAAUUCCCGUAGUGGGGUAACAGGACCAAAGGUUAUAGACAUUUUUGUUUUAAAGAUUUUAUUUAUUUGUUUGUUUGAGAGAGAGAGAGAGAGAGAGAAAGAGCAAAGAGAAGGGCAGAGAGACAGGGAGAGAGAGAGAAUCUUAAGCCGAUUCCACACCCAGCACAGAGCCCCAUGCAGGGCUCCAUCCCACAACCCUGAGAUCAUGACCCAAGCCAAAACCAAGAGUUGGACUCUCAACUGACUAAGCUACCCAGGCUCCCCGCUUAUGACAUCUUUAUGACUUUUGACACACACACACAUACAUGUUUAUGGCUGGCUUGUUUUCCAAAAUGAACAUAUAUAGGAUCAUGUGUCCAAUUUCUGUUUUUUUUUUUAAAGACUUUAUUUAUUUACUCAUGAGAUACACACACACACACACACAGAGAGAGAGAGAGAGAGGCAGAGACACAGGCAGAGGGAGAAGCAGGCUCCAUGCAGGGAGCCAGACGUGGGACUCGAUCCCGGGUCUCCAGGAUCACGACCCGGGCUGAAGGCGGCGCCAAACCGCUAAGCAACCGGGGCUGCCCAUGUGUCCAAUUUCUAAUAGUUGUUAUUCCUGGGACGUAGGAUUCAGAGGUUGACAUGAUGAGAAAAGGGGCUUUAACAUUUCCAUCUUCUGCCUGAUUUGAAUUUUGGCUAUAUAUUUUGUUAUAAAUCAUUUGUAAAAUUUAAAGUGGCCUAAUGUUUUAGAACAUUGGUAAUAAACAGGGUGGUAGGUACA
rnacentral:lncRNA from 1 species